rnacentral:sRNA from 1 species
GCUGGGCAUGGUGGCGCAUGCCUGUAAUCCCAGCUACUUGGGAGGCUGAGGCAGGUGAAUCACUUGAACCCAGGAGAUGGAGGUUGCAGUGAGCUGAGAUCGUGCCAUUGCACUCCAGCCUGGGCAACAAGAGUGAAACUCUGUCUCAA